rnacentral:rRNA from 1 species
GACGAACGCUGGCGGCGUGCUUAACACAUGCAAGUCGAACGGAAAGGCCCUGCUUGCAGGGUACUCGAGUGGCGAACGGGUGAGUAACACGUGGGUGAUCUGCCCUGCACUUCGGGAUAAGCCUGGGAAACUGGGCCUAAUACCGGACAGGAGCUAUUUUUAGUGUGAUGGUUGGAUAGUUUUUUCGGUGUAGGAUGAGCUCGCGGCCUAUCAGCUUGUUGGUUGGGUAAUGGCCUACCAAGGCGGCGACGGGUAGCCGGCCUGGGAGGGUGGACGGCCACAUUGGGACUACGAUACGGACCAGACUCCUACGGGAGGCAGCAGUGGGGAAUAUUGCACAAUGGCCGCAAGCCUGAUGCAGCGACGCCGCGUGGGGAAUGCCGGCCUUCGGGUUGUAAACUACUUUCGCUAGGGACGAAGCUUUUGUGACGGUACCUAGACAAGAAGCACCGGCUAACUACGUG